rnacentral:rRNA from 1 species
UACGUAGGCAGCAAGCGUUGUUCGGAGUUACUGGGCGUAAAGGGUGUGUAGGCGGUUGGAUAAGUGUGGUGUGAAAUCUCCCGGCUUAACUGGGAGGGUGCGCUACAAACUGUCUGACUAGAGUGUGGGAUGGGUAAGUGGAAUUCCUGGUGUAGCGGUGAAAUGCGUAGAUAUCAGGAGGAACACCAACGGCGAAAGCACUCUGCUGGGCCGACACUGACACUGAGAGACGAAAGCUAGGGGAGCGAAUGGG